ensembl:lncRNA
UUAGGAGUGGAGGGAGACAAUUCCACCGUCAGCGCAGGAACAGGAAGCCCUGGCAACAAGGAGAACACCGCUCUUACCAGACCAUUACACCGUACAGGAAUCAGGGUGAAAGCACCUGGAGCGAGGCUGCAGUACUGACUGGGUUUCCUGUGUUCAACUGAACCACGGUACUGACUGGGUUCCUGUGUUCAACUGAACCACGGUACUGACUGGUCCCCUGUGUUCAACUGAACCACGGUACUGACGGGGUUCCUAUGUUCAACUGAACCACGGUACUGACUGGGUUCCUAUGUUCAACUGAACCACGGUACUGACUGGUCCCCUGUGUUCAACUGAACCACAGUACUGACUGGUCCCCUGGGUUCAACUGAACCACAGUACUGACUGGUCCCCUGGGUUCAACUGAACCUCUUUCUGGUUUCUCCCAACUGGACCACCGGACCAGGCCAGGCCAGGACCAACGGCCUUCUACCCUCAGAAUCCUCUUCAAUUGGCCCGGAGCUGACAGCCAGUCAACCAGAGGGGUCUAAGUACACGUUGAGAGAACUGACAAGGUUCCUGAAUGAGACUAAGGGGAAAAAAGUUAAUCUUGAGGCUUUUUUUCCUGAUCCUAGAAAGUUUGUAAGAUCAGUACAACAUGCUAUGACAAAUGAGGGGCAUGGUGUCCUCUGA